GAUGAACGCUGGCGGCGUGCCUAAUACAUGCAAGUCGAGCGAACAGACGAGGAGCCUGCUCCUCUGACGUUAGCGGCGGACGGGUGAGUAACACGUGGAUAACCUACCUAUAAGACUGGGAUAACUUCGGGAAACCGGAGCUAAUACCGGAUAAUAUAUUGAACCGCAUGGUUCAAUAGUGAAAGACGGUUUUGCUGUCACUUAUAGAUGGAUCCGCGCCGCAUUAGCUAGUUGGUAAGGUAACGGCUUACCAAGGCGACGAUGCGUAGCCGACCUGAGAGGGUGAUCGGCCACACUGGAACUGAGACACGGUCCAGACUCCUACGGGAGGCAGCAGUAGGGAAUCUUCCGCAAUGGGCGAAAGCCUGACGGAGCAACGCCGCGUGAGUGAUGAAGGUCUUCGGAUCGUAAAACUCUGUUAUUAGGGAAGAACAAAUGUGUAAGUAACUAUGCACGUCUUGACGGUACCUAAUCAGAAAGCCACGGCUAACUACGU
rnacentral:rRNA from 1 species